UACGAAGGGGGCUAGCGUUGCUCGGAAUCACUGGGCGUAAAGGGUGCGUAGGCGGGUCUUUAAGUCAGGGGUGAAAUCCUGGAGCUCAACUCCAGAACUGCCUUUGAUACUGAGGAUCUUGAGUUCGGGAGAGGUGAGUGGAACUGCGAGUGUAGAGGUGAAAUUCGUAGAUAUUGGGAGGAACACCGGUGGCGAAGGCGACCGCCUGGACGAUGACUGACGCUGAGGCGCGAGAGCGUGGGGAGCAAACAGG
rnacentral:rRNA from 1 species